CUGGGUAUGAUUUCUCUUUUGUAAUUUCAGAUUCUCUUUUGUUAAAUGAUUGUUUCUAUUUCAGACCUUUCCAGCUCACUGCAGGAACAACAGCCCUGGUGUAAUUCCAGGAAGGAAGCAGAAGUCCUGGAGUCAGCACGGCAGGAAAUGUUCUCUCCAGACUCAGCAGUAGCCCAGGAGCUGCUAACACUGAUGUGAGAAGGCCAGGUUGGCGUUUCGGUGUUUGUCCCUUCUCUCCAUGUUUCCUGCAUCCAUCUGCUCAGCAUUUGCCAGGAAGGACAUGCCUUGCUGUUUACCAUGCAUUCUAGCAAGGGCAAUGGAGGGUCCCUUUCACCUGCAGCAUCCUGUGGCCUUCAGACAACUGAAAUAUCAGUUAUGGAACAGCAACAGGCAGGAAUCA